rnacentral:lncRNA from 1 species
CUGGAGAAAAGAGGGCUGAGGGAGGGGUGACCUCAUUGCAGCUUUCCAGUACCUAAAGGGAGCCCGCAAACAGGAGGGGACUCAACUGCUUGAAAGGGUAGGUAACAGCAGGACAAGGGGGAACGGUUUGAAGUUGAAGGAAGGAAGAUUCAGGUUGGGUGGCGGGGAUGUUCUUUACCAGGAGAGUGGUGAGGUGCUGGAACAGGCUGCCCAGAGAGGGUGCACGUGCCCCAUCCCCGGAGGUGUUCAGGGCCAAGUUGAGCGGGGCCCCGGGCAGCCUGGUCCAGUAUUAGAUAUGGAGGUUGGUGGCCCUGCCUGCAGCAGGGGGGUAGGAGCUUAAUGACUGCUGAGGUCCCUUCCCACCGAAGCCAUUCUAGGAUUCUAUGACGCAGCAAAACAAGACUCAUCCCAGCAGGCCGCAGCUCGAGAGUAGAGGGCAGCAGCGUUUCUCAAGUUCAACACAAUAUUUUUCUCAGUACGAUGCACUCUUUAUGAUCCUUAUCCCACAAAACCCUCUGCCCACCAGUGCUGCUGGGAGAUGAAAAUGGAAGGUGAGCUGGGGCCAGGCCUUGUACAGAGCAGAGCCCUGCAGCCACCCAGCUCCAGCCCCGCUAGCCCGGGUACCCCUGCAAUGAGGAAGCACCAGCAGCACUUUGCUCCAGAUGAGCAUCCCGUGGACGGAGCUGAGGCCCCGAUGCCCCAGGUGGCUGCAGCUCCCUCCCUGCUCCCUGCAGACGCAAAGCAGCGUAUUGUUGAGAAAGAAGGCUCUGCAUUCACAAGCGCUGCCUGGUGACUGCCCAGUCCUUGGCUCCCGGCCCCCGCUGCUGUGCCACCCCAUGCCCCCUGGAUGCAGCUGCAGGAUCCCGGUUCCCUCCUGGAGUAAGCUGUCGGCGCAGCUCUGGUGGUGAAGGCUGCUUUGGCUUCCUGCUGGGCCAGGACCGCCUGCGGCUGCACAGCACUCAUGCUAUCCUCCGAUGUGCCGCAUCAGCCGGUAGGGCAGCUAAGCUCUGCGCACUGUGCUGUAACGCU